rnacentral:rRNA from 1 species
CAGCCGCCGCGGUAAUACGUAGGGUGCAAGCGUUAAUCGGAAUUACUGGGCGUAAAGCGUGCGCAGGCGGUUUGUUAAGACAGAUGUGAAAUCCCCGGGCUCAACCUGGGAACUGCAUUUGUGACUGGUAAGCUAGAGUCUGGCAGAGGGGGGUGGAAUUCCGCGUGUAGCAGUGAAAUGCGUAGAUAUGCGGAGGAACACCGAUGGCGAAGGCAGCCCCCUGGGCCAACACUGACGCUCAUGCACGAAAGCGUGGGGAGCAAACAGGAUUAGAUACCCGUGUAGUCCCUGUCUCUUAUAC